GCAGAGAUAGAGCUGCAGCCUCGGAGGGAAAGAAACAGGUGCUUCCAUGGAGGGAGACGGGAGCGGGAGUGCGGAAGAGCCCGGCCACCUGCUCCUCAGGCAGGGGCGGUCUGGGAAGUCUCCUCGGAGGAGGUGAGGCGAUCCCUGGGUGGAGUCCCAAGAAAGGAAAUGCCAUGCAGCAGCGGUGGGAGCUGGGUGCACAGUCCACGUAAGGACAGCUCUCGGAGAGGCUCAGCGGGGCCUCUGGGGAGAAGAGGCCUCCUCGAUUUGCUCUGCACGUUUUCAAGAGCCAGGGCCCGCGCUGCAAGGCAGGAAGACCUAUUUGAGGUCAAUGUCGGGUGGAACCACGCAGAGGCCAAAGGCGCUGCCUGAGGACGGAAUGAGCCCUGUGCGCCUCAGGGGAGAAACCAACCUGUUUGGAAUCGCUCAAGUUGAUGAAAUAGCCGUCUCUAUUUCUCGAGGGCCGGAGGGAUUCAGCCUCUACGUGAGGCAGCUCUGAGGGAUCCCAGCCACUGCCAGGAAUCCCAUUCGCCCUUUAUCCCCCUUGGGAAGUAGAGAGCUCCCUGACUCUGGAGGUGUGCAAGCCGCAGCUGGGCGAGCCUUGUCAGAGGCACUGUGGCAGGAAUUUCAGAGUCAGAUGGGGGGCAGUGCUAUGGGCUGAAUCGUGCCUGCAGAAUCCACAUGUUGAAGCCCUAGCCCACCCACCGCCCUCCCUGCACCGCAGAUGUGACUGUAUUUUUGAGAUAGGGUCUUUCCACAGGCGAUCAAAUUAAAAUGAGAUCAUAUGGGUGUGUCCUCAUUUAAUCCGACUGCUGUCCUUAUGAGAAGAGAUUAGUAGGACACAAGCCCAUACAGAGGGACAGCCAUGGAAGGACCCAGGAAGAAGACGGCCAUCUGGGCACCAAGGAGACAGGCCUCAGGAGGAACCAUUCCUGCCCGUACCUUGAUCGAGGACUUCCGGCCUCCGGAACGCGGGACAGUGAAUGUCUGUUGUUUAAGCCGCCCGGACUACGGUGCCGUGUCACGGCAGCCCAGGCAGGGUGGGUAUUGGUGUAUCCACCGUCCAGGUGAGACAGGGAGCUCAGAGAGGUGAAGUGAUAUGUCCAGGGUCUCACAGUCCGUGAUGGCUCAUCUGGAUUCGCAUCUGGGAAGGCCUGCCCCCCAAGUCUGUCUGACUCAUGACUCUCCACCACGGACUCUGUAGUAGGGUUUGUACAAGAGGCUGGGAUUGUCUAGAGAAGGAAGGAGAGCCCUUGACUUGGGGAAGGUCACGGAAGGCUUCCUAGAGAAGGCGCCCUGUAAGCCAGGACUUAAAGGAGUCAACCCCCAGCAGCAGAGAGGAGGGGACACUCACCCUCUAUAACAAUGACAGGUGAGAGCACAGAACUUGCCAACCCAAGGGCCUGCUCCUGGGAGCUCACGUGUGGGGGUGUCCCGUCAUGUCCCACAGAGAGAAACACAUAUCAACGCCAGCCACCCUGGGCACCCUGGGCAAUGGGCUCCGAGGUUCACGAAACAAGAAGCCCCAACUUCUGGUGCAAAUCACAGCCCUGCCUGCCUCUUUCUGGCUGUGUGCUCUUGGAGAAGUUACGCCACCUCUCUGAACAACGGUGAGAAGUAAACUUUCUUCACGGGAUGCAUUCAUUCCUCACGUGCAUAUGUUUUGAGCCCCGCUCCGUGGUGGGCGUUGCUGUUGGCAGAGGAAAGAGCAGUGAUCAGAGUGCGGUCUCGCGGGAACGUAUCCGUCUAGUAAAGCGCCGGAGAUGGGAAACUGAAGGACUCCAUGGAAAUCUGCAUUUCGCUCCUUCUCCUGCCUCUGUUCUUGCAAGGACCUGCACCCCCACCGCUCUUUGCACCUCAUAAUGCAAACAGCAUAUGUCUUCCCCACCAGGGACACGGAGGGAAUGACUUCUCUGGAAUAGACAACACCUAAGGAAGGACCAGGUGACAAUGAAGCCAUCGUGUGCGCAUUCCAGACCACUUGGCUCUAGACAUCUCCGUGCCAAGGCCGCCUGGCUCCAAGGACUAACACCUGAGCCCUCAUCUUUGUUCUGACCACUCCCGGGAUGCCUGAGGGGACACGCAUGCCAGACCACCGUCCUCCAUAAAAAACCCCCAGACCCCGAACAAAGAUGAGUCUCCUGCUCCCUUCCUUUCCAGGCCUCCCAGACGCUCUGUCUGUGUCUCUCUCUACCUCCAAUAAACUCUGUUUUCACUCUU